CUGCUGUCUACAAAUCCUUAUCGAGCUCCCACAGUGUGCAAGACGCCGUUCUACGGAAACAAAUAUAAAUAAGAUGUGGUCCUCGACUUCACAGCCUGAUGGGAGAGACAGAUACACAGAAACAGCUAUAAUAACGCAGCGCAAGCACAGGACGGAGACGGUACAGGACGUUAUGAGAUCACAGAGGAGAGGUACCAGGCUCCGCUGAGGGGUGAGCUGAGAGCAAAACAGAAAGAGAGAGGCCAGCAGAGGGGCUUCAGGUGGUGGAGUUGCUGUUGUUAUGUGUAUGCGUAGGAGUGAGAGAGAACAAUUUGAAAGGAAGGAGCAGUGGAGAGGAGAGAUGGAUUUCCUAACCUCCUGAAUCCCAGUCACAGACUCCAGGUUGAGAACCUGCAUUCCACUCAGAUGAGACAGGUCAUUUGCUGAGAGGAAGAGGUCAGAGUCUGGAAGGUUUGGAAUACACACCAAGAGACAAGCAAGAGGAACUGAAACAGAGAUGAGCAGAAGCACUGUCUUUGUACCUGCUCCUGACUGCAGACCUGCUUGGAAGGCAGCAAGCAUAUGAUCCCAGAGGGUGAGGCAGAGCUGGAAAUGUCAGAGAUACCACGAGGAGGCACUAGAAUUCCACAUGGCUUCCCUCCGCCAAGAAAAGCCACAUCCAACGAAGUGUCUUGACCUGAGCUGGAGCCUCGUAACAGAUGCCUCACUGAGCCAAAAUGAGCAAGAAAGAGGAUUCGAAAAGAGGACUGUGGGGGAUAUUAAUGCAAGGAGACCACAGCGCUGCUAUGGCAAAGAGCGGAACGAUCACUUCAAAGGGACUCUGACACAGCCAAAUCCCCACUCCACCUCGGGACAGCAUCCCUCCCCUGCCCCCAGGAGCCACUUCCAAACAAUAGCAUAUUGUUCCCUCACCCCAGCUUUCUUCCUCCACUAAUGAAGCAGAAUACUCAGGCUCAUAAAAGAGGGAUUUCAUGCCACUGCCACAGUAUCUCCCCAUUGAAUCCUCUCUGCCUCAUUCAAUGAUAGAUUACAACCGCCAUAAACAUUAUUACCAUUUUCCCCUUUUCUUCCCAAGAUGUCACUGAAACUUUCAUCCCA
rnacentral:lncRNA from 1 species